CUCGUUGUGGCGGCUGGAAUCGGUUGCACGACAUUUCACCGUUGUGCACCGGCGGUAAUUGCCGCUCGGGUGAUCCCGCGCGGGUUCGAAGUAGUAAAGGGCGGGGGGGGGAGUGCGGCCGACCCGCAGGCCCCCGCCGGCGGUCAGCAGGGUCCCGCGCUUGAACCUCUUUCCCGCGCUCCAGCGUCGACCGUCGCCCUACUUGUCUUGGGACCUGUGCUAAAGCGACGCCAGAACUUCAACCCACACGGCCACAGGGACGCGCACGUCCCUUCCGUCCUCCGCUUGCUCCAUCCCCUGUCCCCCUCGCCUGUCCUUUGCACCCCUGCCUCCGUGUGUGCCCGCUCACACCUGCCGCCACCGCACACACAACACACACACACACUGUCUGUGCGCAAUGUUUUCCUUGUGCUUUUUCACACACACACACACACACACACACACAUACACACACACACGCACAUGCAUGCAGUAUGAUGCUGGCCCCGGGCGCGGCGGUGCACGUGGGCGGCGUGUGGGCGGACGUGCUGGCGCCGGGGCAGCCCAACAACGAGGUGGGUGGGUGUAAGGGGGGGGGGGCGGGCGUGUGAGAUGUGAUGGUAUAAGGGGGGUAGUUUGUUCCAGACCCAACGCAUCCAAGCCCCAGACCCAGGGGGAAUGCGGAGGUGUGUGGGCCUGUGCAGGAGUCUGGACGCACGUGAGGCGCCCGGCGUGACGCCGCAGCACACGCCAUGCCCCCUCCCUGUCUACCCCUCCCCCCCUUACCACCACCACCACCCUCCCCCGCCCACCAGGACGCCCUGUUUGAGUACCUGUCCCGCGAGCGCGCCGCCUACCAGCUGCUGGAGCUACAGCCGCUGACGGUGGCUGUAGCAGUGGACAGCGAGCCGGCUGUAGCAUUGCCGGGCGGUGGCGGCGCGGCUGUAGCAGGCGGCGGCUGCGGGGGUGCUGCGGCCGACCCCACGCCCACCGCCCCUACCGCCGCACACGACCGUGAGGUGGUGGAGGAGGGCGAGAAGCUGGAGCGCCGUGACGGAGCCGGCGGCGGUGCAGGUGCAGGUGCCUGUGGUGGUGGUGCGGCAGCGGGCGGUGGCGGUGGCGGCGACGUGGCGUUCGUGCUGUCGCGGUUCCGAAUGAAGCAUGUGGGCGGCUGGCUGGGCCGUGCGCCGACCGGCCGGUGAGUGGGUGGGUGGGUGGGUAGCUGGGCCGGUGGGUGAGUGGGUGGGUGGGUGGGUGUGGUGGUGUGGCUGGCGGGUGACCCACACAUGUUACGGAGCCAGGGAGAAGACACGGUCAUGUGGGCUAGGGCCGGGAGUGUGACCACAAGUUACUUUGCUAGCAUGUGUGAGUUGCGGGACAGUGUUCUCAGAUGGUGCAGCGGGGGCACACGCGUUCCUCUCAGGCCGCUUCGGCACCCACACGCGAGAGCGCACGUGGCGCUGGCCGGCCUGCCAAGUCUGUGUCGUGACUGCGCGCUGCACUCCCCCGCCGCCUCCAACUCCAAACACCCCACCCCUCCCCCCACGGGCCUCGUGUCUUUGGUGGAAAGGGUGAGAGAAGCUAUCCCCCAAUGAGCCCCAACCGCCGCCGCUCUGCAUCCUCCUGGCCCCCACUGCCUCUGAACCCCAACGUCUGCGGGCUCCAGCCGCCAAGCCACACACCGCCGCGCCCUCGGGAUCCCUACUAAAGCCCUUCCCCCUAUGCUCUCCUGUUUCCAUGGGGAAACUGUAAGAGGAACGCCCGCCUGCCUGUGCUCCGCUAGUUUAGUUUGGGCUGGUAUCUACGGCCCCCCCCUUCGCCCUCCCGCCAACUCAGCUCACCGUGAAAGCGCUGAAGCCCAGGUCCAGGGUGAUGCCGCGCUCCUUGCUCUGCAAGUGCUUGUCCAGCGCGGCCGUGGACAGCCGGGUGGACAGCGCCGCGACUGCAGCAGCGCAGUAAAGGGCGGACAAGGAAGAGCGAGCGUUGGGACAACAGGGGCUGGAGCAGGCGUCGAUGAAGCAGGCAUGCGUCACACAUGGUGGGCAGACAUUGCGGCACGGCAGGUCGUAUCGAUGUGACGCACCGAGGCUGGUUUUUCCCGAGUCCACAUGACCAAGCACGCCAACGUUGAUGUUGAGAAUGCGCUUGCCGCUGGAAGCUGUGGCCUUCUUAUCGCUCAUUCUGCUGGUUCGGGUCUAUUACCAACGUAACCUCCUCCUAAGUAUUAUAAUCGUAUUCACGCGAUGAUAGCAUUUUUCAAACUAAAAGGCUGGACAUUCUAGCUCGGAAGCUCAAGAACACAUCAAAACAGGGGUUGCCCGAACAGAGUUCAGGGUAGACCGCGUGAUAAUCAGAAGCAAGGAUGAUAGUAGCCUGAAGGAAUUGGCCGAGCACACACCACAUGUGGCAGCAUGAAACACAUGGCGCCCGCUCAGUCCCCGGCUGAGGUGGCACGAACUUUCUGGCGCCCUCUCCAUCAUGGGCUCUUCUCGCCCUCCUGAUCACUAGAACGAUCUCCUCAUCAUUGACGGCAAAAAAACCCGCGAGUGACGUCUGAUAAUGCCAGCACAUGGUUGCCUUGGGAGAAGGUAGGGCUGCUUGAGGAAGCAUAGGGGAAGGCGGCCAGGGGUGCGGCAACAGCAACUGGCGGGAGUGCGGCUCAUGCCGCCACAAGCAUGCAGUUGAGCGUGCACGGCGCGUUAUGGGGCGAGCCCGCCAACGUAGGGCGGCUAGGAAAGGGGGGUUGUAGUUUGACCAGCCCAAACUAAACCGAACCCAAUAGUAGAGGGGGUCGAGGGGUGCUCGGGGGGGCGCGGCACACGGGUGUCGUGAUUCAUCACCGAGUACUUAUGACCGGCAGCGCAAACGCGGCCUAAAACGCUAUUCUGGAAUCCCAGGCAGCAGCCAUGCUCUCAACACACACCAAUUCGCAGCACGGCAAGAACCCGCUCAGCCCGCGCAAGUCGCCGGCGCUCGCCGCGGCGCCCGGCGACACCGCGCCACCAGCCGACCCAGUCGACCCACUCGCCAGCAGCCCUCACCACCAACACCACCAUCACCACCAUCACGAGCACGGCUCAGCAGGCGCGGCGGGCGGCAGGCCCGCCUCCUCCUCGGGCGCGGCCGCGACGACGCUGGCUCAGCGGCUUGAGCUGGUGGCUCGGCGCUUCGUGAGCAAUGUGGUGGGCUGGCCAGGAGGCAGCGGCGGCGGCAGCAAUGAGGAGGAGGAGGUGCGGGGCGGCGAGCAGCAGCCGCAGGCGGGGGACGUGGGCAGCGGUGACAUCGAGACCGCCGCGCGGGUCGCCAGGUGAGCUCGCGCCGCCGCCGUGGGGUGACUCGCUGUGGCGGUUGGAAGCGGUUGCACGACGUUUCACCGCUGCACACCGUCGGUACUUGCCGCUCGGACGGAAAGUAGUUAAGGGGAUGCGGGCGACCCGCAGGCCCCCGGCGGUCAGCACACAGGGUCCCUAGCUCCAACCACUUUCCCGCGCUCCAACCCCUUUCCCGCGCUCCAACCCCUUUCCCGCGCUCCAGCGUCGCCCUCACGCCCUCCCUCCCUCCUGCUUGUCUUGGGACCUGUGCUAAAGCGACGCCAGAACUUCAACCCACACGGCCACAGGGACGCGCACGUCCCUUCC
rnacentral:lncRNA from 1 species